GAUGAACGCUGGCGGCGUGCCUAAUACAUGCAAGUCGAGCGAACGGACGAGAAGCUUGCUUCUCUGAUGUUAGCGGCGGACGGGUGAGUAACACGUGGAUAACCUACCUAUAAGACUGGGAUAACUUCGGGAAACCGGAGCUAAUACCGGAUGAUAUUUUGAACCGCAUGGUUCAAAAGUGAAAGACGGUCUUGCUGUCACUUAUAGAUGGAUCCGCGCUGCAUUAGCUAGUUGGUAAGGUAACGGCUUACCAAGGCAACGAUGCAUAGCCGACCUGAGAGGGUGAUCGGCCACACUGGAACUGAGACACGGUCCAGACUCCUACGGGAGGCAGCAGUAGGGAAUCUACCGCAAUGGGCGAAAGCCUGACGGAGCAACGCCGCGUGAGUGAUGAAGGUCUUCGGAUCGUAAAACUCUGUUAUUAGGGAAGAACAUAUGUGUAAGUAACUGUGCACAUCUUGACGGUACCUAAUCAGAAAGCCACGGCUAACUACGUG
rnacentral:rRNA from 1 species